rnacentral:rRNA from 1 species
UAAGGGCGCACGGUGGAUGCCUUGGCACUAGAAGCCGAUGAAGGACGUUACUAACGACGAUAUGCUUUGGGGAGCUGUAAGUAAGCUUUGAUCCAGAGAUUUCCGAAUGGGGAAACCCAGCAUGAGUUAUGUCAUGUUAUCGAUAUGUGAAUACAUAGCAUAUCAGAAGGCACACCCGGAGAACUGAAACAUCUUAGUACCCGGAGGAAGAGAAAGAAAAUUCGAUUCCCUUAGUAGCGGCGAGCGAAACGGGAAGAGCCCAAACCAACAAGCUUGCUUGUUGGGGUUGUAGGACACUCUAUACGGAGUUACAAAGGACGACAUUAGACGAAUCAUCUGGAAAGAUGAAUCAAAGAAGGUAAUAAUCCUGUAGUCGAAAAUGUUGUCUCUCUUGAGUGGAUCCUGAGUACGACGGAGCACGUGAAAUUCCGUCGGAAUCUGGGAGGACCAUCUCCUAAGGCUAAAUACUCUCUAGUGACCGAUAGUGAACCAGUACCGUGAGGGAAAGGUGAAAAGCACCCCGGAAGGGGAGUGAAAUAGAACCUGAAACCGUGUGCUUACAAGUAGUCAGAGCCCGUUAAUGGGUGAUGGCGUGCCUUUUGUAGAAUGAACCGGCGAGUUACGAUUUGAUGCAAGGUUAAGCAGUAAAUGUGGAGCCGUAGCGAAAGCGAGUCUGAAUAGGGCGUUUAGUAUUUGGUCGUAGACCCGAAACCAGGUGAUCUACCCUUGGUCAGGUUGAAGUUCAGGUAACACUGAAUGGAGGACCGAACCGACUUACGUUGAAAAGUGAGCGGAUGAACUGAGGGUAGCGGAGAAAUUCCAAUCGAACCUGGAGAUAGCUGGUUCUCUCCGAAAUAGCUUUAGGGCUAGCCUCAAGUGAUGAUUAUUGGAGGUAGAGCACUGUUUGGACGAGGGGCCCCUCUCGGGUUACCGAAUUCAGACAAACUCCGAAUGCCAAUUAAUUUAACUUGGGAGUCAGAACAUGGGUGAUAAGGUCCGUGUUCGAAAGGGAAACAGCCCAGACCACCAGCUAAGGUCCCAAAAUAUAUGUUAAGUGGAAAAGGAUGUGGCGUUGCCCAGACAACUAGGAUGUUGGCUUAGAAGCAGCCAUCAUUUAAAGAGUGCGUAAUAGCUCACUAGUCGAGUGACACUGCGCCGAAAAUGUACCGGGGCUAAACAUAUUACCGAAGCUGUGGAUUGUCCUUUGGACAAUGGUAGGAGAGCGUUCUAAGGGUGUUGAAGCAUGAUCGUAAGGACAUGUGGAGCGCUUAGAAGUGAGAAUGCCGGUGUGAGUAGCGAAAGACGGGUGAGAAUCCCGUCCACCGAUUGACUAAGGUUUCCAGAGGAAGGCUCGUCCGCUCUGGGUUAGUCGGGUCCUAAGCUGAGGCCGACAGGCGUAGGCGAUGGAUAACAGGUUGAUAUUCCUGUACCACCUAUAAUCGUUUUAAUCGAUGGGGGGACGCAGUAGGAUAGGCGAAGCGUGCGAUUGGAUUGCACGUCUAAGCAGUAAGGCUGAGUAUUAGGCAAAUCCGGUACUCGUUAAGGCUGAGCUGUGAUGGGGAGAAGACAUUGUGUCUUCGAGUCGUUGAUUUCACACUGCCGAGAAAAGCCUCUAGAUAGAAAAUAGGUGCCCGUACCGCAAACCGACACAGGUAGUCAAGAUGAGAAUUCUAAGGUGAGCGAGCGAACUCUCGUUAAGGAACUCGGCAAAAUGACCCCGUAACUUCGGGAGAAGGGGUGCUCUUUAGGGUUAACGCCCAGAAGAGCCGCAGUGAAUAGGCCCAAGCGACUGUUUAUCAAAAACACAGGUCUCUGCUAAACCGUAAGGUGAUGUAUAGGGGCUGACGCCUGCCCGGUGCUGGAAGGUUAAGAGGAGUGGUUAGCUUCUGCGAAGCUACGAAUCGAAGCCCCAGUAAACGGCGGCCGUAACUAUAACGGUCCUAAGGUAGCGAAAUUCCUUGUCGGGUAAGUUCCGACCCGCACGAAAGGCGUAACGAUUUGGGCACUGUCUCAACGAGAGACUCGGUGAAAUCAUAGUACCUGUGAAGAUGCAGGUUACCCGCGACAGGACGGAAAGACCCCGUGGAGCUUUACUGUAGCCUGAUAUUGAAAUUCGGCACAGCUUGUACAGGAUAGGUAGGAGCCUUUGAAACGUGAGCGCUAGCUUACGUGGAGGCGCUGGUGGGAUACUACCCUAGCU